UACAGAGGGUGCGAGCGUUAAUCGGAAUUACUGGGCGUAAAGCGCGUGUAGGCGGCCCUGCAAGUCGGAUGUGAAAUCCCACGGCUCAACCGUGGAAGUGCAUUCGAAACUGCAGGGCUAGAGUCCUGGAGAGGAAGGUGGAAUGCUUGGUGUAGAGGUGAAAUUCGUAGAUAUCAAGCGGAACACCGGUGGCGAAGGCGGCGACCUGGACCGAUUACUGACGCUGAGGCGCGAAAGCUAGGGGAGCAAACGGG
rnacentral:rRNA from 1 species